GACGAACGCUGGCGGCGUGCUUAACACAUGCAAGUCGAACGGAAAGGCCCUGCUUUUGUGGGGUGCUCGAGUGGCGAACGGGUGAGUAACACGUGAGUAACCUGCCCUUGACUUUGGGAUAACUUCAGGAAACUGGGGCUAAUACCGGAUAGGAGCUCCUGCUGCAUGGUGGGGGUUGGAAAGUUUCGGCGGUUGGGGAUGGACUCGCGGCUUAUCAGCUUGUUGGUGGGGUAGUGGCUUACCAAGGCUUUGACGGGUAGCCGGCCUGAGAGGGUGACCGGCAACAUGGGGAUGGAGAAAGGGCCCAGACCCCAACGGGGGGCAGCGGUGGGAAAUAUGGCCCAAUGGGCGGAAGCCUGAUGCAGCAACGCCGGGUGCGGGAUGACGGCCUUCGGUUUGUAAACCGCUUUCGCCUGUGACGAAGCGUGGGUGACGGUAAUGGGUAAAGAAGCACCGGCUAACUACGUG
rnacentral:rRNA from 1 species